UUUGAUGAUGAUACAAAUUAUGAUGCUUGAAGAGUUUUCUCACUGUGAGCACAAUGAUUUCUCAAUAGACUACAACGGUAUCUGAAA
rnacentral:ncRNA from 17 species